GGAUCACCAGGAACAAAUUCGUAGGGAGGAGCAAUAGCAUCAGGAACACGUCGAGCUCAUGGAAUCAUUUGGGCAGCUACAACAACAAAUGUCAACAUGGGAAGCUGACAGGGAAGCCGAAAGGAGAGAACAUGCACGACAAAUUGAAGAAAUUAACAAGGCAAGGGAGGCUGAUAAAGAAGAGCUUAGGCGAGAGUUCCUAUCAAUGAUGCAAGCAGCAAAUGGACAGGCACCAUCUCAGUAGAUUGUCCUGCCAACAGCUAUCCAGCCAAACAACAAUGUCGCUGCAUCUGCAGAGGUGGCGGCGGCUGCAUCAAACAUGAGUACUGAAGAAGUACAGACAAACUCACCGAAUGUGCUCUCUUCUAGUCAGGUUGAGAAGCCUCAAAGCCACACAGAGCAAUCUGAAGUCGGUGGUAAACCAAGGGUAGCUAGCAUU